CAAAGGUGCCGCCCCGGUCUCUCCGUCCCGCCCCGAGCACGCCCCUCACUCCGCACCGGCCAAUGGCACCGCCCCGUCCGCCCCGCUCUGGGAACGCCGCUCCAGCAGAUGUGACAUAGACUGGAAGUGAUGGACCCAGACAACAAUCAGAACCAAAGCACCAGAUGAGCCACCUCAGCCACGUGAGCCAUGCCAGCCACCCUACCUGUGACCCCAUCUGUGGCCCCAGUUAUCAUGGAGUAGACUGUUGUAUAGAAUGAAGUGUUGCUUGAUUCUAGAAUAAAUUGAGAAUUGUGACCUGACCUUGUCCAACCCAAGUGGCCCAACUCCUAAUUCUGUGAGUGACAUGUCUCUGUUACUUUGGAAUAUUGAUUGAAGAGAAUUGGCAAAACCCAAAGUCAGAAAGAAAGAGCAAGAGCAGGCAGGAGGGCAAGACGACAGCAAGAGAACAAGAAAGAAACCUGAAGAAAAGAAGUUUUAGUGAAGAUGGAAAGGCUUAAAACAUACCAUGGAGAAUGACCUCAGCCUUCUGUGUGGAGGAUUUGCACUUGGAGAUAAGGAAAGAGAGGGACUUCAGAGAGUUAAGCAGUUCAGUUUCCUUUGCAUUUCUUACAUCUGAGCAGGUGACCGGAGUGAACACUCUGGAAGCCACAGUGGAGUCCUCUGCUUGGGGCCUCUUUCUGGAAACCAGAUCAAUUCACUGAAAAACAAUUUGCAAAUGACUAGUUCAUUGAGAAGCAAGUGACCAAAACUCUAAGUCACCGAAUGACCUGCUCAUUGAUUUAUUGAAGAUUUUAUUCCAAGGUCUACUUCCCUCUGCAUUUGUGGCUGCCAUUUCAUAUGUGAAUGGGUGGGCAGUUUGCUGUCAUGCCCUUUUUGUGCAUCUCUAUCCUGACCCUGUAUGUGGUGCUGCCUUUUCCCAGGCCCCCUGCCCCUGCCCUGGCCUCUGUCUGCAAAGCAGUUGCAGCAACCUCCCUCUUGCUGUUGAAGAUACUCAUCUGAUGUCUAUUGUGAAUUGGCUGGAGCCCUUCUACAGGUUUGUUAGCGUCCCUCUGCAUCCAGGCUGAUGGUGCCUGCCAUGCUUCUACAUGCUGUUCUCUGCCACCCACCUGAGCCCAGCUAGAGUCAGUGGGGAAGUGGAGGAGCCACAUCAAAACAGUGUGUCCACCUCAGUCACCCUCCAGUGUGCAUUGACGACCAGGCAGCCAUUAGACCCAAAUGCAGCCCCACAGCAUAGAGGCAAAUGGAAAGGCCACAUAUCCUCUUUUCAUUCUCCUUCCAUGUGAGGCCCUGCAGAGCCUGGCAUCUGUCUUCAUCAUCGUGGCAUCCUCAGACUCUUUCUUCUUCCUGGAGCGAGCUGUGCUCUCUGAAGCCACUGCCUGUGUGGGAAGUACCCCAGCAUUUCUUCGCUGUUGCCAGGCAUCCCUUCCUGUCCUACCACUUCAAAUGCAUCUUUUCAUGUGUCCUUCCUGAGCACCUCUAGCAGCUGCAUGUUCCUGUUUCAGCCUCUGCCUUUCCACAGCUCCUCCAAGAUUCCUCUAUUGCAGAGCACAGCACCACCUUGCAGGAAACCUCCCAGAGGACUGUGAGGACCAUGAAGCAAGGGGCUGCAUCUUAUUCUCCUUGGUGUCUGGCCCAGCAGUGGGCCCAGGCCAGAUGCCAUUAAGAACAUUCAUGAUUCAUGAGAGGAGAUCAAAAUAUCAACAUAAACAGGAGUUUGAAAGAAGUUGAUUUCAACCCUUGUGGAUGACUAUGAGAGAUUCAAGGCUUCAGUGGAGAAUGCACCUACAGAUAUGGUGGAAACAGCAAAAGAAAUAGAAUCAGAAGUGGAGCCUGAAGAUUAAACUGAAUUGCUGCAAUCUCAUGAUAAAACUUGAACAGAUGAGGAGUUGCUUCUUACAUCACAGAGCCUGGUGACUUCUUCCUCCCAGGUCUGUGGAUCAACACUGUCUCCCUGGCCUCUACCCAGCGCGCAGGACCCCUUAGCAGAGCAGGAGAACUCAGGAUCCAGCCAGCUGCCGGCACACUUUCGUCCUCCUCCGCACACUAGGGUUAGGAACUGUCAGAGUGUGGCUCAACUGAGAAACAACUUUCUGAGUAGAGGUGGGGAAAGAUGGGCUAAGAGGCUUCUGAGGUCAUGUGUUCACCAUCACUGAGGCACUGUGAUGUGUUAGGUGGGUCUGAACCCUCUGGCUUCAGAGAGAGUGCCUGUGGGGCACCAGGUAAUCCGAGACUGCAGCUCAGAGAUUACUCCAGCAAAGGGUCAGGUAUCCACACUGCCUCUGCUACCUGCCCGUUGGUCACUCACUCAUUGUUCUGAUGAUAAGAUCGACAGAUCACAAGAAGGACUGUGGCUUGAAGUUCCAGAGCAGAGAUGCACAUUACUGUCUACCGCUGAAGUGAACUGCUGCCCCUCUGGAGUCUGGAUAUCAUCAGAAUGAAAAAGCGAGUGUCAUGGGCAAAGCGAGGAGUCCAGCAGGAUGGACGCUGUGUGGUUUCUCAGCUGGAGCGCAGCAGGAGCAAGCGUGGAAACAUCCUUCUUUUCUCUUCUCCCCUCCCCUCCCCAAGUGCAAAUGGAACCUGUGAAAUAUGGCUUGAUUUUGAGGCUUCUAAUUCUUCAUUGCACUCCCAGACCCUUCUUUUAUCUCUGGUGGCAGCCCUGAGAAUAAAUCUCUUGGUCACAUUCUUCAAUCAGUUUCUCCCAGAGAAAAGGUUAGGCUGCAAGGAUGAUAGGAACCAGACUUCAAAUGGGUUUCCAGGAGCUGAGGGAAGGAAAGGUUUUUCCUACAGUUUCUCCAGCCAAGGGAUUAAGAAAAGGAUGGGGUCAUAGAGCAACAGCAGUAGAAGGUGGCAUUCCAAGACUUUCUCCAGGACUCCACCUAAGGUCAGUUUCUCGUCACUCAUACCUGUUUGUCUUUUGCCUGGCCACCAUCAAUGUAGAGUUAAGAACCAGGAGGCAGGAACAUGCUCCCCAAGUCACAGUCUGCCUCCCACAUACUGCAGUUUGAUUACAGCAUCCUGCCUCUCCACAGGAGGAAAGUGGUGUCAUUCUCCAGAACCAGGUGUGGAUUGUGAUCAGACCUAGAAUUGGCUAGGUAAAAAGCUUAAGAGAGAGAUUCCAUGUCCUGCAACACUGUCCACAAUUCAAAUCUGUAUUCAAAAUAAAACUAAAAGCAGAGAAAAUCCACAGCAGACCUACCACUCUCCAGGCAGAUAGUGCCCUCUCCACAAUCUGCAGCCAUCAACUGCCUCUGCUGGACGCUGCCCAGAGAGAGACCUGCUGCUGCAGAGCAGCUCUGUGUCAGCCACUGCGGCCUUAGAGAGAGCUGCAGGAAAUGGGACUUCUCACGUGCUCUCCACAGUGGAACCACAGGUCAGCAGCUGAAUGGAGCCUCUACCCUCUGGAUGCCUUUCUUGUCACUUAGUAUUCUUUUUUUUCUCAUUCUGGUACUUUAUCUGCUGGAAACUUUCAAAUGUAUUACUAAUGUCCUUCCAAACAGACUCCACAUGGGAAUUUUCAUGAUAUCUUGGCUAUAUUUACACAAAGAUUAGCUUGCAGGAAACACAAAAUAAGUAUGCAUAAAUAAAUGAGUGGCUCAGCACAC
rnacentral:lncRNA from 1 species